rnacentral:misc_RNA from 1 species
GAGACGUUGUCGCCUUCACUUCGCAAGUCAAGGACAUCCCAAAGUUUACUAGUCACGAUGCAGUGGACUUCACUCGCACUCGCGCUUCUUGCGCAAAAUGCCGCCGCCCAGAACAUGCUUCGAUUUGCANUCACAGCUGGUUGUCGACCGUGUUGACCCUCUUGUUAAUCCCGGAAUGACUUACACACCGCAUCUUCACCAGAUUGUUGGAGGUAACUCCUUCAACGUCACCAUGGACCCGGC